GGUUGAUCCUGCCAGUAGUGAUAUGCUUGUUUCAAAGAUUAAGCCAUGCAUGUGUAAGUAAAAAUGAACUUUUACAGUGAAACUGCGGAUGGCUCAUUAAAUCAGUUUUAAUUUAUUUGGUGGAUGUUGAGAAACUACAUGGAUACCCGUAGUAAUUCUAGAGCUAAUACAUGCACGAACGCCCGGCCUUCGGUCGGGUUGUAUUUAUUGGAUCCCAAAGCCAAACCGUUUCGGCGGUUCUGUUUGUUGAUUCACAAUAACUUGUCGGAUCGUUUCUUCGGAAGCGAUAUGC
rnacentral:rRNA from 1 species